CACUCUAUGUUUAUUAUCAUUGUCAUGCGGUGUCACGUACAAAGCGAACAGCGAAACAGCAACUUGGAUCACAAAUUGACAAUCAAUACAACGUGUUAUUAAUAAUAGAAGAAGUAUAUAUUAAUAGAAGAAUAAUAGCAGAGAAAGAUCGGAUAAUUGCAAAUCUUAUUAAAAUUAGCAAGAGAAGCGCUAAACAAGUAUUCACGAUGUGUUUUUCUAGGAUGACGCAAAUUAUAAAGCAAAUAUUUCAUUUGUCAUUUUUAUACAUAUUUAUUUUUGUUUUUAUCUUAUACAUAUCAAUUUAUAUAAUAUUAGUACCGACUAGUGAUACUCCAAUAAAUGUAAACAACGAUGACAACAAUAAUAACUGGAUAUAUAAUUUGAGUUUGAAUAAAAAAAAAGAAACGGUAUUACCUAUAAAAAGUAUUAAAGAUUUAAAUACUUUUGAUGUAUACCUGACCAGCACAAAUAUUGCAAUAAUUAUUAUGGUAUUAAUAGCUGUGUUGCUGAUCUGUUGUUGCUGCAGAAAAAUCUCUUCUGACCAAGAGGAACCAGCUAAUAUUAUUAUUAGGUACAAUGUAGAAGGUGAAUAUCAAAACGAUUUCCAAAUAAUUUCUUUUUUACCGGAUAUAUAGAAUAUGUAAGUAAAAUAUCUAUAGUAGAGUAAACGCAGACUAUAUCUCAAAUCGAUACAAUUUUUUAUGAUACAAAAAAUAAUGCCAGUAUAUAUUGUGUAUACACAUAUAUACAAACGCGAAUGCCGAUACAAAAUGUUUCAAAAAUAAAUGGCUUAAAUUUAGAAAUAUAUUCUCUACUUACCACACAGAUAAAAAAAUUCAUAUAAACGUGAAUCCAUAAACGUUUCAUUUUUUUUUUCAAUACGUUCCAUUUUAUUUACAAUAGAGUUCGACAAGAA